AUGAGAUUGAGAGGGAAGAUGGGAGGGAGGAGUAGCAAAAGUGAAAACAAAAUUUAAAAAUUUAAAAAUUGAAAUCUACUUGAAAUUGUUUUCACUUUCAAGUUUUUGUUUUCACUUUUAUUACUUCUCCCUUCCAUCCUCCCCUCUCAUGCUCUCU
rnacentral:miRNA from 1 species